GGCUGGUCUGAACGCAGUGCUGUUUACAACUAAUUGCUCACAACCAGUUACCGAUUUCUUUGUCCCUUCUCCACUCCUGCUGCUUCACCUGACUAGCCUUAA
ensembl:misc_RNA Y_RNA Y RNA